UAUGUUCAUUUUUUGGCCCAACAAACAUAAACCGUCUCUGACCUAAUGUUCUUCGGACAAGAGAACGAGAGAGGCGUCCCACAUCCUUCGACGGCGAGAUUCUGACGUUUCCGCUUUCCCUCGCCAAAUGUAACGCUCUGAGUUAAGAUUUCGUGAUUAAUCCACUCAAAUCGCUCCCCCACGAUGUGUAUUCAAAGCAAUCUUCAAGCUCAGAGUCGGUGUGAUCUAUGUAUAAAUAGGGUCCGGCAAGUGUACCUCCGUCGUCGAGGCUAGGCUCCUGCGGUUCUGGGAGGCCAGGAACGUUAAACGCAGUGGGGAGCUCAUGUGGGUCGAUAUGCUUCUGGAUCCGUUGACGUAAGUCUGUUCUUCCUAAUUUUUUUUUUUUUGUAAUUCAACAAUAUUCCGACGAGUUUCUUCGAGCAGGCUAUGUUAUUGUUUCACUUGAGAGAAACUUAUUUGUCUUUGGAGAGUUUAAGGAUUCUCAGAAUCUUUGCAAUUUUAAUACAGUUUUUGAUGAUGAUAUGUAAAGCCAUAACAGUGAAGACUUCAAUUGCUCUAUCUGUCUUCUGAUUUCAAAAUAAAAUAUUAUUGUCGGUUUUUCAUGAUAUAAAUGGGUAUAUUUUCCGAAGGGUCAUCAGCUACAUUUUGUGAUGCAGCAAUUUGUUCACGUCCUUUCACUGCAGGUUCUUUUUUCUUUGUUAUGGCUGCAAUAAGAAUCUUGAGCCGUUGAAUGACAUCUAUACCUAAGCACAUGUUUGUCUCGACCUUUCUGUUGGUUAUAACACAAUUUCUUUUGUGCAAGGUUGCUAAUUGCCGUCCUAAUAUUCUUUGCUUAUGGCCAUCAAAUCGUGGAUAU